rnacentral:tRNA from 1 species
GUGGGUGUAGCUAAGUGGUAGAGCACAUGCCUAGCAUGCAUGAGCUCCUGAGUUCAAUACCCAGUCCCUCCA